rnacentral:rRNA from 1 species
GACGGAGGGUGCAAGCGUUGUUCGGAAUUACUGGGCGUAAAGCGCGUGUAGGCGGCCAUGCAAGUACUUUGUGAAAUCCCUCGGCUCAACCGGGGAAUUGCUUGGUAUACUGCAGGGCUUGAGGCGGGUAGGGGUGCUUGGAACUCUAGGUGGAGCGGUGAAAUGCGUAGAUAUCUAGAGGAACGCCUGUGGCGAAAGCGGAGCACUGGGCCCGUCCUGACGCUAAGACGCGAAAGCGUGGGUAGCAAACGGG